rnacentral:rRNA from 1 species
CCCAAUGUGAACGUUACCAAACUGUUGCCUCGGCGGGGUCACGCCCCGGGUGCGUAAAAGCCCCGGAACCAGGCGCCCGCCGGAGGAACCAACCAAACUCUUUCUGUAGUCCCCUCGCGGACGUAUUUCUUACAGCUCUGAGCAAAAAUUCAAAAUGAAUCAAAACUUUCAACAACGGAUCUCUUGGUUCUGGCAUCGAUGAAGAACGCAGCGAAAUGCGAUAAGUAAUGUGAAUUGCAGAAUUCAGUGAAUCAUCGAAUCUUUGAACGCACAUUGCGCCCGCCAGUAUUCUGGCGGGCAUGCCUGUCCGAGCGUCAUUUCAACCCUCGAACCCCUCCGGGGGAUCGGCGUUGGGGAUCGGGACCCCUCACCGGGUGCCGGCCCUGAAAUACAGUGGCGGUCUCGCCGCAGCCUCUCCUGCGCAGUAGUUUGCACAACUCGCACCGGGAGCGCGGCGCGUCCACGUCCGUAAAACACCCAACUUCUGAAAUGUUGACCUCGGAUCAGGUAGGAAUACCCGCUGAACUUAAGCAUAUCAAU